GCCCAUUACCAUUAUUGAAUGCCUUCUUCAUCCCCUUUUCUCUAAGCUAAACCUAGACCUCCCACUCCCACUCGAACAUGUAGGCGGAGAUGGAAACUCAUUCAAACUUAGUCUACUAAAGGAUGGAACCUUUCGGUUCAUUUCCUUAAGGUAGGACGCCCGAGAGCCUCUCUCCCUAUUGAAGUUCAGAUUCAGUCCGUCCUUAGACCGGAGUCCUUGGGCACCCUAUGUGCCCCCGAAUGGACAGGUAGCCAACCUGGCGGGAGUCAGCAGCGGAAGUACCCACUUGGUAUGGCUAAACACUUUUCUUUCUUCAAUUUGUUAUAGCUUCAGCCUUUCCGUGCCCCCUUUGAUCCGACCUGAGACCUCAUUUAGAGAGAUUGGCUUCGUAGCCUACAGUAUUGUGAUCUCGAAAUGUAUUGGAUGUCUGGCCAGGUGAAUUUCGAUCUUUCAUACGUGGGUCGCCCCCUUCUCCUCAUUCAGAGCUAGGCGAGAGCACAGAUUGGUGUCAGUUAGGAGUUCAAUUGAUGACAGACAUUCUGGUAACGAUCCAAGUUGGUAUGUUAAUGCAUGUGAUUUACAUUGUAUACAAGUUCUCACACGUAACUAUACCUUCCCCAUCAGCUUAGCCGGUCCUGACUGAGUCUGCUGGCAGCUGAAAAGCUGGCUUCAUCGAGAGAGAUUUGAUACAAAAUAAUUCCGGCUUCAUCCUCUGCCGGUAAAUCACCUUGCAGUUGGAGGAGUAAAAUCUGAACCCGAAGUGGGAGCCAAUGUAACUGAAUCCAAAUGCCAAUUAUAGCAAACUCAGUCAAAAAAAGUUUGACUUAAUGUAGCCAUUCAUCAAUCAAAGUCUGCAGAAUUUUGAUUAUCUAGGCUUCUUACCUUUCUCCUUAUCUUAUCUAGAACUAUAGUAGGCAAGGCAAAGCCUUUUUCUUCCACUCCCUGUCCACUCUUGCAGCAGGAUAGGUUUUUUUCCAUAAAAAAAGGGAAACUCUUUCAGUUGAUGUCCUACUUUUGAUGUCCUACUUCUGAUAGAACAAGAGGAAAGCAAAAGAGAGAAGGAAUUGAAUCAAGAGUCUCAGGGGCAUGCCUAGAAGAAACUACUGAUGGUGAAAGACUAGUUAAAGUAGGGGGCAUAUAAUGUUUUGUUGAAUAUCUAAUAGUACAGUACACUAAGAUAAAAUAGAAUUGAGAACUACUACUCUAGAUAUUUCUUCUCCUCAGGUCACUCUAACAAUUCCUUUUUCUGCAGGAAAGCAGGUCCGUUUUGUUUUCACUUUUCCUUUUAGAGUUUCUUCUGUAUUGAGUAAGUACUCUACUUGUUAGAAAGCUAGUGAGGGAAGCGAGCUCCAUACUUGUAGCGAGUAAGAUAAGGCCUACUCCUCAGAGAAGAUCCGAAUCUCUAUCUUUGAUUGACUCUGAUUCCCAAACGGAGUGUUUACGCCAGCAAUCCGGUUAGUUCCUUUCUUUCAGUUGUCUCCCUUUUAGCUGUAGUGCUUGAAGCUGUGAGCCAGUCUGAUAGCCUUUUCCCUUGCUUUAGUGAGUUUGCCUCCUGACCCUAAAGCUGUUAGUGAACUUUCUCACCUUUUCACGAUCUCUUGUUAUGAAAAAUGGUCUAAGCCUUCCCCCUUUUUUUUAGAAGCCCCCCCAAGGAUUCCAUUCUGGUUUGAGUGUGUUAGAAAGUCUUCCAUCAGUCGUAUCUGGGGCAAUUGACUUUGCCAUGAGACUGUUUACCUCAUCACUCGAAUAAACUAAUGAAUUUUCUUUAAGUCUUGGGUGAGCUACCAUGGGUGUGUCACCUUUCAAUUCGAUAUCUUCUUGUAAGGAUUGAAAGCCUUCCCAUCUUUGAAGUAAGGAAAAAUGCUUUGGAUUCUGUCUAGUCUCUUAGUCGGUCCAUUCCAGAAGCAUUGGAAAAGCAGCGUAGGCUGGGCGGACAUACUGGACGAGAGAGAUAGUCAUUCCAAACUCCUUCUACGGGGCUAUUCAAUUCUAUCGAAAAACUCCUCUAUCAAGGACUGAUUUUUUUUCUCUUCCUCGGGGUCUUAGUGACAAAGUUCCAGUCCUUUCUUUUUCUUUGAAAGUUGAUUUGCUUCUUUCGUCGGUUUAACAGCUUUCCAAGCAGAAAUUCCUUCUUUUAAUUUGUUACUUGAAUGAGUGAAUCUUCUUUUCGGGUGUGGAAGGAUUGGCUUUUGUGGUCCAUUUGCUUUGUAUCGAGUGAAUAGGGUUAGAGGUCUAUCACCAGCUUCAAAGGCUAAUGUGGAAGUCGACUUUUUACCUCCUUCCAUAGAAAAGACUCACAUUUUCUUUGUUCUUUGUGUGAGUUCAGUGCCUUGCCUUCCAAGUCAUCUUAUCAGUCAUCAAAUCACUAAGCGCAUACUUCCUUGCCAGCCUUCCAACCGCUAAAGCCCUCCUCACCUCAAGAAAUUCUAUUGAAGGCCUUGCCUUUCAGUCAGCCAUUCCAUCUAGCUAUUCCAUGUAGUCCAGCCAUUCGAGCAGCCUAAUAACUAAUAAGGAAUCCCUUUAGUAAGGGCCUAUUGCCUUUCAUCCUAGCUAGAAGUCCAGUAGUUUAUUACCUAUGUCGGUCUCAGUUCUUUCUUGUAUGGAGGUACUGGGGAUUGUUCUGUUUUCGCAUUGUCUAAGUCCUCUUGCUUGACCUAUUUCUUUUGUCUUUAUACUUUCUAACUCCUGACCCCAAGCCAGGAUUUUUUUUUGAUUGNNNNNNNNNNNNNNNNNNNNNNNNNNNNNNNNNNNNNNNNNNNNNNNNNNNNNNNNNNNNNNNNNNNNNNNNNNNNNNNNNNNNNNNNNNNNNNNNNNNNNNNNNNNNNNNNNNNNNNNNNNNNNNNNNNNNNNNNNNNNNNNNNNNNNNNCAGUGACUGACCUUACACAACCCAUAAUCGGAAAGACAUUGACUCGAUCGACAGGCCCUCGCUACAAGACUGAAAUCGAAUGAUAGAAGAAUCGAUAGCUACUCCUGCGCUUACUACUUUUCAAAGAGAAAGUAGGGAAACUUAGCCGGCUAAGCGAUAUGGAAAGAAUCCUAGACCUGCAAGCACAGGAACUCCCUCACACCCUUAGUCUUCUUCCUCGACUGAUCCUUAAGGUUCAAAGACUGGGGGACUCCUUUCCUUCUCUUCAAUGCUUUUCAAAAAGUGUUAAAAAGGGGGAAGCUUCUUCUCUGAAGUUGAAGCAAGUACUGAUUUGACUUUAUUUGUAGAUCAAGGGGAUGUGAAAAGUAGGACCAUUGCAUUAUCGUCUUUGUUGCUUGAGAAUACAAAACUUCCUUCUCUUCUUGGCUUGUAUUCUGAGUAGGCUAUGGAGUAUAGUAGUCGAGCACGUAGGCCGUCAGUCCAUCUAUUCCUCCCAUCCGCUACCAUGCUUUUUCCUUUAUCAAGUCGAGGAAGAAGAGUGAGGUGUGAGCGCAAGGGGAUGGGUUGACUUUCCUGGUGGACAAACAUUGCCCUAUGGCUUAGUCGUAGGUUUAGCCUUAGAUUCAUUCCCCUAGGGCUUUUCUUAAGUCCCGUAGUCAUCCUAUCUGUUCAUUCCGAAAAAUAAGUGUUGGAAUCUUUCGAAGCUUUCCCUUAUGUAAGCAUUGUAUUCCGUCUUAGUGUCUUAGCCAGCCCCGCCCCCACAAGGGUAGAAUUCCUCUCAAACCUUUCAUUCUCUUUCUUUGUAUUGUUUCCUAUCUAUCUUUUUAGUGUUAGUAUUGUAAGCCUUGGUUUUCAAUCCUCCCAUUGUUCGAAAAUGUCUUAUGUAGUAUAUUCUUUUUCUAGCAUGUGAGAGAGAAGGAAGAAGAAGACUAAGUGCCAGCAAGAGAGGUUAUGUGUAUGCAGUUGUAGGACCAUUCCCUCUCCUUUCUUGUAAGUCAGAGAAGAGGAAAUCAUGGCCCUUGCCUUAGGCUUGAAGUUCACGUGGCCGGUAUGCUGCUCACUUUACAUCAUUCUUUCGAUCCGCUACCUGUGCUUAAAGCAAAGCUUUCCAUUCCAACUUGAUCUUAUUCAGUUAGAGAUUCAAUCAUCCUUGAAGUGCUCCAGUGGUCGAUGUAGAAAAAUUGGCUAAGGUUCAAUUUGCUUCAGUUGAAGUGAUCGCUCUAUUUUGGCAGUCUUCGAAGGCAGCAGAAAUGCCUUUUGCUUUUCCUUUAGAAUGUCCUACCUCCUUAAGUUGCAACAAGUCCUGAUUUGACUUUCUUAGUGGAAGGUGUGAAGUGCCCCAUUGGUCAUGAAGGGUUUGAAACCUUUUGCUUGGUUCAAAGUGGUCUAGUCCCCUAAGGAGGAAGAGUUGGAAGAUUUUAGUAAGCCUUGAAUCGAUACAUCUCUUUGCCGGAUCUUAGUUUUGAUUAUGGUAUUCCUUCUUUUAAAAGGCGGGAAAGCCCCUUGAGGGUGGAAUUGCCUUGUUGGGUGAGUUCUCUCCUUCUUACUUAAUUCUUAAGGUAAAGAUCGGGAAGUCUUUGACUAAGUUCCUCUGUAUAUGACACAUUCAUCUAGUCGGAUUAAUACUCGUGUAACUGGCUCCUACCCCGCAGUGAAUCACUCCUCCUUUCGGUUUUAGCGAGGGUUCAAUCUGUCGGCUAAAGGUCCAUUGCUUUCCUAAAGUGAAUUUCAAUCGUGUAAGAAAGGCAAAUCGAGAUAAUCGAAGUCCAAUGCUACAGAUUUCCCUCAAGCAAAGAAUAAAUAUUUGAUUCGAAAAAGCUAAUUCCUUGAUCCGGGAAAGCGGUUAGACUAAGUCUCUUAGUAGAGGAAAAAGAUUCAAUCGCUCUCAUUCACUCACCCUUAAGAAAGGGGCUUCCCAAAAAGCGUGGCUAUUUCAAAGGCCGGCAGACUAAGAGAGAGGUGGAAAAAGUAUGGUACGGUAUCCAUCAAGGGGUGGGGCCAGGAACUCAAGAAAGCGCUAUGGCUACGGGAGAGGUGUAAUAAACUGCUUUGAAGGUGCUUAGACCAAUCACACUAUAGGAGAAUGGGACUAGCCUUGAAAGAACAGAAAGUCGAUUUACGAUCUACAAAAGAUAAGAUAGAAGAAAAAGCAUUGAACUUAUUAGCUCACUCAAUGAAGAUGGAAAAUAAAGGAAUUGCUUCAAAAAUGAAAAAGCAUUUCCACGAAAGCGUGGAAGGAUGGAAUACUGCUAGACAGCCCUAAAAGCUUGGAAGGCUAAGGUACAAAAUGCAUAGGACUCCUUAAACCACUACACGGAAUAUGGGAAAGACAGAGAGAGAAGGAAAGAAAGUAGUCUCCCCUCUUGGGGCUUCCCCUAUUACACGAAGAGCACCUGACGAAGGAAUGGAAUACAUCUAAGACUUCGACGGCUUUGGUCCUACAAAACUGUAAGCACACUCACUGCAAAGACUAUUAUACGAUAUUCAUCCGUAAGACCAGUACAAUCCAAAGCUUAUUCUCCGACACGCAGUUUAAAAGUCUCAAGGAAAAAGGAGUGAACCUUAGCAGCAGGCAAAGACCAUAGGCGAAUGGUGCUAGAUCGGGAACAAGAUCUCCUCGAUAUACGACAGCAAAGGCAUUAGGCCAGGACUCAAAGAAAGGAAAAUUCCCCCCAUCAGAUCAGGGGGCUUCCCUAAGGGUAAGGGGCUAUUAGACUGGAAGGAAAGCAAGACAAGACCAUAGAGAUGGCAUGGCGAAUCUCGUAGCAAGAUAGGUCGAGAGCAAGUCAUGCUUUGAUUCUACCACCUAAUGGUAUCAACUUUGAUCAUAUCCCUCACGAAACACUUUCUAUAGGAAACUGGAUGAGAGGUGAACCAGGGUUUUUUUUCCACUAGAAGUAAUGGAAUGAUAGAUUGGCUUACACCACUAGGAGCUAUUCCACCAAGAUCAAAUGAGGACUGACUAGGGGACUUCGCCACUUAAAAGGCUAAUUAAGAAAUAUUUAAAGAGAGUUGGAAUGCAUCGACAGCUUUUCCUGCACUUACUCCAAUAGACAAAGAAAGGAGGGCAACUUAGCCGGCUAAACAAUACCCAAAUGGUGAUAGACCUGCAACCCCCGCUGCUUAACCAAUGCUUAGGGAAUCGAAGACUUCAAAGACUAGAAAGCUAGCAUAGAAUAAGUACUUUACGAAAUACGGAUGUAGUACUAAACAGCUAAUGGAAAGCUAAGAGACUAGAUGGAAAGCGUACGGGAUCUACGGGCUAAGAGAUUUUUCCACUUCAAGCCAAAGGAAAUGAAACCUUUGCCGAUAGACCAAUCAAUGGUGAAACAAGACCUGCAAGCACAUAAACUCGAUCUUUAGCCCUUGCUUCGAGAGGGAGUUUAGCAAUACAAGGAUUAGGA
rnacentral:lncRNA from 1 species